rnacentral:rRNA from 1 species
GACGAACGCUGGCGGCGUGCUUAACACAUGCAAGUGGAGCGACGAACCGGGCUUCGGCCCGGGGCAAAGCCGCGAACGGGUGAGUAACACGUGGGUAACCUGCCCCAAUGAUUGGGACAACCCGGGGAAACCCGGGCUAAUACCGAAUGUGUCCAUCAGCCACAAGGCUGAUGGGGAAAGGAAGCUUCGGCCUCCGCAUUGGGAUGGGCCCGCGGCCCAUUAGCUUGUUGGUGAGGUAACGGCUCACCAAGGCAACGAUGGGUAGCUGGUCUGAGAGGACGAUCAGCCACACUGGGACUGAGACACGGCCCAGACUCCUACGGGAGGCAGCAGUGGGGAAUCUUGCACAAUGCGCGAAAGCGUGAUGCAGCAACGCCGCGUGGGGGAAGACGGCCUUCGGGUUGUAAACCCCUUUCAGUUGGGACGAAGCUUCGCCGGUGAAUAGCCGGCUGGAGUGACGGUACCUUCAGAAGAAGCCCCGGCUAACUACGUGCCAGCCGCCGCCGUAAAAC